AAGAGCUCGCCAGCCUUGCGGCUCCCAGCCUCUCAGGACUCCCGGCUCUCCUUCCCCCUAAGCCUCUGGGCGCAGACGAACCGCGGUGCCUCCGGUCCCUUCCCGGCGUCCCCAGGGUGUGGACUCUGCGCGGUGAGGGAGCAGUCGGCCCCCGGAUUGACCAGGGCGGGGGCGCCGGCCGCGGCUGUGAGGGUGGCGGUGACCCCGGCAGGGCUGGGCCUGAGGUGCCCGGAGCCCCGGUUCUGCUCGGCCGCCGCGGGGAGGCUGUGGCCCGGCGGCGUGACGGGCCGGGCCGGGAGUUCAGAAAUCAAGGCUGAGCAAGACAGGUGGAGUGGGUAAAGCCGCCGCCUGCAGUGCCGGCAUCCCAUAUGGGCGCCGGUUCACGUCCCGGCUGCUCCACUUCCUAUCCAGCUCUCUGCUGUGGCCUGGGAAAGCAGUGGAGACCCGCAUGGGAGACCUGGAAGAAGCUCCUGGCUCCUGGCUUUGGAUCAGCACAGCUCCAGCCGUGAAUCAGCAGAUGGAAGACCUCUCUCUGCCUCUCUUAUUUCCUGCAGCAGAUAUCAACAGAUAUCAAUACCAGAAGAUGGAAUAUUGUUGUACAUACUCAAGUUACCAUUUACCAGCUUGGUAAUAUUCCAUAUUGUGGAUGGUCUAACAUGUAUUAAGAAGUCAGCUUUUGGGCUCAUAACUCGGCACUGCCAGAAGCCUUCUGCUGAAGAAGCUUGGGGUCUUGGAGUUGGAGUCAACAUAUGACACCAAAGAUGUAUUUUCAGAAAAGGGCAGUUUUGAAAUAAAUUUUUCCCAGUGGGAGAUAAAGGAAAAAAGUAAAACCUUUGACCUUGAAGCAGCCAUUUUUGGAAACAAUUGGAAGUUCAAAAAGCAACUUGAAGGACUGCAGGGACAUCAAGAAGAAUAUUUCAGCCAAAUGAUAAUCAACCAUGAAAAAGUAAGCACCUUCAGGAAAAGCAGAUCUUUCACUCCACAUCAGAGCGUUCCUAGCAGAGAGAAGCCCCGUGUGUGUGAGGAAUGUGGGAAGCUUGUAGUCAUGGGUCAAAACUUGUUCACCAUGAGAGAACUCACACAGAUGAGAAAUGCUUUGAGUGUAAGGAAUGUGGGAAGACCUUCUUGAGUGCCUGUCAACUUACGGUACAUCAGAGGCUUCACACUGGAGAGAAACCUUACGCAUGUAAGGAAUGCAGGAAGACCUUCCGCUGGACAUCCAGCCUUGUUAAACAUGAGAGGAUCCAUACUGGUGAGAAACCCUAUGCAUGUAGAGACUGUGGCAAGGCCUUUCGUCAUGGCUAUCACCUCACUCGGCAUCAGAAAAUCCAACUGGGAAGAAACCUUAUGUAUGUAAAGUAUGUGGCAAGGCUUUCUGUUGGGGUUAUCAACUGACUCGCCAUCAGAUAUUGCAUACUGGGGAGAACCCCUGUGAAUGUAAGAAGUGUGGGAAGGCCUUUAGCUGUGGAUCCAGUCUUGUUCAACACAAGAGAAUCCAUAGCGGAGAGAAAACUUACGAGUGCACAGUCUGUGGCAAGGUCUUUUGUCGUGGCUAUCACCUCACUUAGCAUCAGAAAAUUCACACUGGCGAGAAGCCUUUAGAAUGUAAGGAAUGUGGGAAGGCCUUUAGUUGGGGUCCAAGCCUUGUUAAACAUGAGAGAGUCCACAGUGGUGAGAAAUCCUAUAAAUGUAAAAAAAGUGGGGAAAUGUGAUGGCUGUCAACUCACUGUUUCUCAGAGAUUUCACACUGGAGAGAAAUUUUAUCAAUAUAAGGAAUUGGGGAAGACCUUUUCUCAUGGCUCGAACUGGGAUCAAUGUGAGAGAACGCUUAGUAGUAAUGAACCCUACAAAUAUAAAGACUGUAUAUGGACAACUUCCUCAAAUGAGAAAAUUGAUACCGGUGAAACAGCAUGAUUGAAGAAAUGUGAAAGGACAUUUUUUGUUUGUGGGUAACGAUGUGAGGAGGAAAAGUCCCAUGAAUGUAAGGAAUGUGCUAAAGCCUCUCCUGUAUGUGGACAGCUUGUUGUUAUCAUCACAUUGACACUAGAAAUAUUUUGAAAGCAAGGAAUAUGAAAUGGCCUUUACACUUCUGUGUGAUCUUACUGAGCACCAAUUUCUAUGGAUGUAAAACAGUUUAAAUGGAAGAGGCUGGCACCGCGGCUCAAUAGGCUAAUCCUCUGCCUGCGGCGCUGGCACACCGGGUUCUAGUCUGGUUGGGGCGCCGGAUUCUGUCCCAGUUGCUCCUCUUCCAGGUCAGCUAUCUGCUCUGGCCCGAGAGUGCAGUGGAGGAUGGCCCAAGUGCUUGGGCCCUGCACCCCAUGGGAGACCAGGAGAAGCACCUGGCUCCUGGCUUCGGAUCAGCGUGGUAUGCCGGCCAUGGUGGCCAUUAGAGGGUGAACCAACGGUAAAAGGAAGACCUUUCUCUCUGUCUCUCUCACUGUCCACUCUGCCUGUCAAAAAAAAAAUAAAUAAAUGAAAGAAAUAUGUGUAGGUCUUUUUUUAAAAAAAGAUUUAUUUUUAUUUAUUUGAAAGACAGAGUCACAGAGAGAGAUAAAGACAGAGUGAGAGGUCUUCCAUCUGCUGGUUCACUCCCCAGAUGGCUGUGAUGGCCAAAGCUGCACCGAUCCAAAGCCAGGAGCUUCCUCCGGGUCUCCCACAUGGGUGCAGGGGCCCAAGAACUUGGGCCAUCCUCUACUGCUAUCCCAGGCCACCAGCAGAGAGCUGGAUCGGAAGAGGAGCAGCCGGGACUAGAACCAGCGCCCAUGUGGGAUGCCAGUGCUUCUGGCCAGGGCUUUAACCCACUGCGCCACAGCGCCGGCCCCUGGCAGUCUUUAUUCAUGGCACAAAUUCUGACUGCAUCAGAGAAUUUAUACCUGUUAGAAACACUUUAAAUAUAAGGAAUGUGGAAGGAUCUAAACUUAGUUCAGUCUUGCUGCACAUCAGUGAAUUCAUACUGUUGUGAAACCUAUACAUGUAAGGAAUGUGAGAAGGCUUGUAGACAUGUAAACAUCUUAGGAUGCAUCAGGGAAUUAAUCUGCAUGAGAAAUUCUCUGAAUCUCUCGCUGUCUAACUCUGCCUGUCAAAAAAAAAAGUAUAAAAAGAGCUGUAGGAAAGCCUUUAACUGGAAGUCAUUCAAGCCAUUUCCCAGAGACUGGUGCCAGUCUCUAAAUUUUCAACUAUGAGAUAUAUGCAGAAAAUGAGAGUAAAUAUUUGGAAACUUUAUAGCAAUUUUUUAUUGCCAUAACAUUUUUGUCGUAUCUUACAAAAGUAUCCAUCCAUGAAAGAUUGGAAGUUAAAAGUCAAAUGUUUGCCCAUCCCCAGAAAUAAUUUGAGAGAUAGUCACACUUUUUAAAGCAUGAGACAAGUCACCAUAUGAUUUAAACAAAAUCAUUUGUCACAUUUCUGAUUAGAGUACCAGAAUACUCAUACGGCCAGUGCUGUGGCUCACUUGGUUAAUCCUCCACCUUGCAGCGCCAGCAUCCCAUAUGAGUGCCGGGUUCUAGUCCCGGUUGCUCCUCUUCCAGUCCAGCUCUCUGCUAUGACUCCGGAGGGCAGUGUAGGAUGGCCCAAGUGCUUGGGCCCUGCACCCGUGUGGGAGACCAGGAGGAAGCACCUGGCUUCUGGCUUUGGAUCGGUGCAGCGCCAGCCGUAGCGGCCAUUUGGGGGUGAACCAAUGGAAGGAAGACCUUUCUCUCUGUCUCUCUCACUGUCUAACUCUUAUCUGUCAAAUAAAAAAAAUUUUAAAAAAGGUUGGAUUUAAGACUACCAUUUUGGCCAGCGCCGUGGCUCACUAGGCUAAUCCUCCACCUGCAGCGCUGGCACCUCGGGUUCUAGUCCCAGUUGGGGCACCAGAUUCUGUCCCAGUUGCUCCUCUUCCAGUCCAGCUCUCUGCUGUGGCCUGGGAUAGCAGUGGAGGAUGGCCCAAAUGCUUGGGCCCUGCACCUGCAUGGGAGACCAUUAGGAAGCACCUGGCUCCUGGCUUUGGAUUGGCGCAGCAUGCUGGCCGUAGCGGCCGUUUGGGGAGUGAACCAAUGGAAGGAAGACCUUUCUCUCUGUCUCUCUGUCUAACUGCCUGUCAAAAAAAAAAAAAAAAAAAGAAAAAAAAAAGAAAAAAGAA